rnacentral:sRNA from 1 species
CGGCAUGAAGCCGCCUUCUCGAAUGAUAUU